rnacentral:rRNA from 1 species
ACGGAGGUGGCAAGCGUUGCUCGGAAUCACUGGGCGUAAAGGGCGCGUAGGCGGGGGGGUAAGUCGGGUGUGAAAUCCCUCGGCCCAACCGAGGAACUGCGCCCGAGACUGCUUCUCUUGAGUCCCGGAGAGGAAGGUGGAAUUCCCGGUGUAGCGGUGAAAUGUGUAGAGAUCGGGAGGAACACCGGUGGCGAAGGCGGCCUUCUGGACGGUGACUGACGCUGAGGCGCGAAAGCGUGGGGAGCAAACGGGA